GCUGUAAACGAUGAGUGCUAAAUGUGAGGAUUUUAUCUUUGUAUUGUAGCUAACGCGUUAAGCACUCCGCCUGGGGACUACGGUCGCAAGACUAAAACUCAAAGGAAUUGACGGGGACCCGCACAAGCGGUGGAGCAUGUGGUUUAAUUCGAUGCUACGCGAAAAACCUUACCACUUUUUGACAUGAAGGUCGUAUCCCUCCUAACAGGGGGAGUCAGUUCGGCUGGACCUUACACAGGUGCUGCAUGGUUGUCGUCAGCUCGUGUCGUGAGAUGUUGGGUUAAGUCCCGCAACGAGCGCAACCCUCAUUCUUAGUUACCAACAGGUAAUGCUGGGCACUCUAAGGAAACUGCCAGUGAUAAACUGGAGGAAGGUGGGGAUGAUGUC
rnacentral:rRNA from 1 species